rnacentral:rRNA from 1 species
GACGGAGGAUGCAAGUGUUAUCCGGAAUCACUGGGCGUAAAGCGUCUGUAGGUGGUCAAAUAAGUCAACUGUUAAAUCUUGAGGCUCAACCUCAAAAUCGCAGUCGAAACUAUUAGACUAGAGUAUAGUAGGGGUAAAGGGAAUUUCCAGUGGAGCGGUGAAAUGCGUAGAGAUUGGAAAGAACACCGAUGGCGAAGGCAGCCCCCUGGGAUGAUACUGACGCUCAUGCACGAAAGCGUGGGGAGCAAACAGG